UCUCUCUGGAUUCCAGAAGGCAUGAGGACCCAGAUGCUAUACAGUGGGAAAACCAGCCUGGCAACAUAGUGCGUAUUAAUAAAAGGACACCACAUCCUGCCAAAUUCCAGCUGCGCUAAUUGUAUUGUGUUCACAGAGCUCACAAGCUAUCAGAAAGUUGUAUGGCAACCACCUCUGUCGCCAAAUAGAACUGGCAGACAUAGACAUUCAGUACAAGAAGAAAAAGAUGGAAAAUCUUGCACUGGAGUUCGAAAUAAAAAAGAGGACAAUUAGGAAACUGGACCUUGAAAUAAAAAAACUUGAGAGGGAGCUCCAAGAAGAUGACACAGCUCAAAAUAAAAAUUAGCAAUCAGUACAACCAAGUCAUCGU